CGUUGACUGAUGUACAUUUUGUACAUGUAUGAAACGCAGAAGAUCUUCAUACAAGUGCAUGAUUCUUUUUUAGAAAUACAUUUUCUUUACAUCAAACUAUUAAAAAUGUUCACAAUCGUAAUAAGAAUCCAAGGGACAAUCAAAAACUCAAAAUCGCAGAAAGCGACAAAUACAUAUUAUUUCUUAGAAUUUCAAAUGUAAUGGUUUAAAAUAGAGUAAAUCCAUGGACAAACAGUUAAAAGUAACGUGUACAAUGUGUUUACACAAAACUAAAAUAAUUCGAACUACAUGUACAUAAUAUAUUAUAUAGUCAGUAACGUGGUGAACAUUGAAGUCCAUUGGCUUCAAAAUUUUAUUACCGUUUAGUUAACGUUCACAUCCUUAUUUUGUACCGCCUUGGUUGUCUUGUGGUGGCGUGCUCGAGGUGAGCACGGCAGGUCAUAGGUUCUAUUCUAUGUCAUGGUCAAACAAAAUAGUUUGCAAGUAGUAUAUGCUGCUUCUCCGCUCAGCAUGUGCAUUAAAAAGUUUGAGCAAAUAUUGGUCAGCUCGGAGUCCAGAAAGGAUUACAUGUCUUCAUGUGGACUGCUGCUUUGUAAUAUAGUACGUUAAAAAAUCCGGCUCAGCAUGUCGGUCUUGUACAAAGUACGGUGUGAAACCAAGUGUGUUUAAAUGUUGACGAACUACAUUGUUAUAUGUGUCGUGCGUUUCAGGUGUGAUAGUAGACAAGGAUGCGUGCCAUUGCACCCAGAAAUGUCGACUGAAAAACUUUCUACAUUGAUGUAUGAUAACCAGCAAACAACCUUACCCAUAAAUGUUUCGGGAUAUACUAUGAAUAUUGUUUACAACGAAAGCCAUCACACACCAACUGAUGUAUAUGAAAAUAAAACGGAUAGUACAGAGGGAAAUGGUGAACGUAUAAAUGACAGUGAUUAUAUAAACUACGUGAUCUGGAUUGGAUGUAUUCUAUUCAUAAUCCUGAUUGUCGUAAGCAGUAGUAUAUGCUAUAUCUUGAAUAACAAUCUACUACUGAAACAUUCCGCAAAUGUCAAAAGUAUACUACAAGACAAAGAAACAACUGCAGGUGUUCUUAAUCGGCCUGAAAGCGUCACAGGACCAUGUGACAUAAUAAAUGAGCAAACUUUGUAUCUAGAUCAUGCAAUUGAGAUACAAGUGGUAACCGGAGAAGCUUUAGGCAAAAAUAGCAAUGAGGAUUGAUAUAAAAAAUUGCAACAUUCCACAAUAAUAAAAAAAUAACAGGUGGUUCAACAAAUGACCAGAAAACUAUGAUGUGCAUGGGUAUUACACGGUUGCACUACCUCAACCAGCGACUGCACACAUUAUCAGAUACUGUGAGCCCCUAGACCAACGAUCAAUAAGACAGAUGGUGUUAAUUCUCAUGAGACUUAAUGUUUUACUUU